AGUGGUGGCACAUACCUUUAGUCCCAGCACUUAAGAGGCAGAGGUAGGCUGUGUAGACCAGGCUGGCCUUGAACUCGGAGAUUCUACCUACUACCAGUACUGGAGCUAAAGGCAUACACUGCUCUACUUAUUUUUGAGACAACAUAUCUGUCUGAUACUAGAGCUAGUUUCAACUAAACUGGUCGUUCAGCGUGCCUCUGCCACCUGCCUUUCAGCGCCCACCCCAACUCUAGUGCUGGGAUUCAGGCCUGUACCCUCAUACCCAAAUCUUUGUUUUUGUUUUGUUUUUUCAAGACAGGGUUUCUCUGUGUACACUGGCCUGGAACUCACAGAGAGACGGUAUCACAAAAGUAAAACAUACAGAGACUGACUGGACCUGACCUUUGCCCUUCACAUAUGCAUGCACAGGUGAGCACUCCUACCUGGAAAACACAGUCUGUCUGUGUAAACAUAGGAACAAAUCUCAGACAACAGAGAUAACGCUUGGUAAAAAGGAAGAGAUCAGGGAGACACAAACAGCAGCAGAGAAAGAAACCAGGAGCACCCUCUGACCUACCCUCCCCCAAGCAUCAGAAGACACCAGGCUGGAUGAUUGUCUGAGCCACCAGGAUGUCAGUUUCAGAGGUUUGGUCCAUUAUCGUCAUGGCAGGAAGCAUGGUGGCACACAGGCAGACACGGUGCUGGAGAAAGAGCUGACCGUUCUCUAUCUGGAUUCUCAGGCAGCAGGAAGAGAGAGCGAGGGCGCUGGGACUGGACUCAAGCUUUUGAAACCCCAAAGCCCACCCACCUGCAUUGACACACUUUCUCCAUUAAGGCCCCACCUCCUAAUGCCACUCCAUAAGCACUCAAAUGUAUGAGCCUAUGGGGCCAUUCUUUUAAUAUUUAUUUUUAUUUUAUUUGCA